GAGGGUAUAUCUGAGUGGUACGGUGCGUGCCUAGCAUGCACAAGUUCCUGGGUUCAGUCCCCAGUACCUCCA
rnacentral:tRNA from 1 species